GCUCCUGCGGACGAGGAGCGCGCGGAGGAAGUGAAACGGAAAAUGUGAGCCGCCCUCGCCCAAACCGCAAGCUUCCUGCCCUCUCCGACGGCCCACGCAGGAAAGAAGGGAGAAGGCGCUGAGGUUCAAAGGGCACCGGGUGGGGCCUGCACAGAACCCCCACCCCCCCGCGCCCCUGCGCGCCCCGCCAGUUAAGUGGAGGGGCGAGGCAGGGACAGCAUGACAGGAGCACGAAGGUGCGAAGGUGCGGGUCUCCGGAAUAGAGGGUGAUGGUGCCUGUGAACUUGGGCUUGGAGUUUUUAAAGAGAGAGGAAGUGGCAAGUAAAGACGCUAACCCCGGAGUGGAGGGCGAGAUCCCUUGCGUGGAAGGAGACUCAGUGUCCCCUACUACCUGCUCCAACCAGUCUAAGGCCUGAGAAAUACUUGCUCAAAGUCAUGUUGGCAAGGAAAGGGCUGACCUUG